rnacentral:lncRNA from 1 species
GAGCAAGGAGGGGCUGCCCAGCUCCUGCACACACUGCAGGGCCUCCUUCAUAUCAUUGAUGUGCAGAUAUUCCUCUAUGAUCGCCUUAGAUUUCUUCUCCAGCUCCUCCUCUGACAGCAUGGGUUUGGGUGAUGCCGCAGGAGGUGCUGGCUCUUGUUUAAUCGUCUCUCGGCUCCUGUCCCGUUCCUCUGACAUGCUAGCAGUCUUACGCACGGCCUCAGGGCCACUCUGCUUUUCCCGUUCUCUGCUCCUGUCCUCUGUCUCUUUGCUGAAGCUCCUCUUGGUGACAGCAGACCUGUUCCUCUCUCCCCGCUCUCCCCGAUCAGGACGCUCCAGACGGUCACUGCUCUUCUCUGAACGUGACUCCCGGUCCCCUCUGUCCCC